rnacentral:lncRNA from 1 species
AGGGUGAGGCUAAGAGCCCUCCAGGCAGGCAGAGGAGGGUGCUGGAGGGAGGAGAGGCCGGUAUAGGACCUUCGCCUUGAAGAAAGCACCCAGGUAAGGCUGGGCAGUGUUGGGAGAGAGCUUUAGUUGAUCUUUUUGUUUUUGGAUGUUUUCUGAUGGUCCUCUAUGGCUUUGGAAAAUGGAGAGAAGACAGAGAGGCGUAGGCACUGAAGGCUGCAGCUGUGAUUGAGGAUCACGACGCCUGUUGGGGCUGCUCACCUGCCUAGGCCUGGGUGAGGAGGUGCUGGGGCCUGGCUGCACACACGUUCCUGCCCCAGAACUCAGUUGGGGGCUCGGAGCAGGAGAAGCUGCACACGGUGGAUGAAGACCUGAUCAUUGAAGUUCACCAGUUAUUUUUCUCAAGAAUGUGAAUAACAAUGGGAUUUGCACUCAUUAUAUUUUUAGAAUGGCUUCGCAUAAUUUUCAUGCAUCCUGUGGACGAUGAACACAAAUGCAGCUGUGGCCGUGCCUGGCCUGUGUGUGUUGAACGCGUUCCUGCCGUGCGGGAGCCACCUACCCAGCGGAGCCUCAGAGUCUGAGUUCUCAAUGAGUCAACAUUUUGGGUGUGUAUGCCAAGAGGUGACACGAAACAGAAGUUGGGAUCACUGUGGUUAACCUGAGCAUGUUGGAGACCAAGGAGAGGCUGAUGUUAAUGUUGGAUUUUUGUGAAAAUGAUUCCUUUCAAAGAAAGACCUGUGACAGUUGGUAAUUGCAGCUAAUGUGUUUCCACAAACAGCCAUUUUGUGUUGGCAAUCACACCGUCCACCAUCAGGGUUGCUGACAGGAGCAGUGUUCAGGAGUCUCAGACAGUGGAUUGUGCUGCUUCAGGCGCCUGGUGGCUGGAGGGUUUGCAGGCUGCCAGGGGCCUCAGCUGAAGACCUGGACCCACAGGACCCACAGAGGCAAAUUGUUCAGUUGACUGUACAGUGUGAGAAUGAAACAUUAAUUCCCCUUCUCUACCUCAUAUGAGAAAUGUGAAUUGUCUUUUUUAAAUUUGGGAAUCUGG